GGAUUAGAUACCCUGGUAGUCCACGCUGUAAACGAUGAUAACUAGGUGUUCGGGUUAAUUGAGACCUGAGUGCCCAAGCGAAAGCGAUAAGUUAUCCACCUGGGGAGUACGUCCGCAAGGAUGAAACUCAAAGGAAUUGACGGGGGCCCGCACAAGCGGUGGAGCAUGUGGUUUAAUUCGAUGAUACGCGAGGAACCUUACCUGGGCUAGAAUGUGCGUGACCGCUCCUGAAAGGGAGCUUUCUUCGGACACAAAACAAGGUGCUGCAUGGUUGUCGUCAGCUCGUGUUG
rnacentral:rRNA from 1 species